AACGAACGCUGGCGGCGUGGAUAAGACAUGCAAGUCGAACGGGACAGACCGAGGAGCAAUAUUUGGAAUGUUCAGUGGCGAACGGCUUCGUAACACGUGGAUAACAUUCCGGAAAGCGGGGAAUAGACCAGGGAAACUUGGAUUAAUACCGCAUGUGGCCGCGAGGGUAAAGACGGGGAUCGCAAGGCCUGGCAAUUUCCGAUUGGUCUGCGGCCUAUGAGCUAGUUGGCGGGGUAAUGGCCCACAAAGGGUACGACGGGUAGCUGGGCGUAAAGGACGACGAGCAAAACUGGAACUGAGACACGGUCCAGACACCUACGGGUGGCAGAAGUCGAGAAACUUGCACAAUGGGGGAAACCCUGAUGGGGCGACGCCGCGUGGAGGAUAAGGUCUUCGGAUUGUAAACUCCUGUCAUGCGAGAACAAGGGACUCAGGCUAAUAACCUGAUUGUUUGAUGGUACCGCAAGAGGAAGAGACGGCUAACUCUGUGCCAGCCGCCGCUGUAAAAC
rnacentral:rRNA from 1 species